GAGGUAACGCCUGCCCAGUGACCAUGUGUUCAACGGCCGCGGUAUUCUGACCGUGCAAAGGUAGCGUAAUCACUUGUCUUUUAAAUAAAGACUAGUAUGAAUGGCAUCACGAGAGUUCAACUGUCUCCCCCACCCAAUCAGUGAAACUGAUCUCCCCGUGCAGAAGCGGGGAUAAAAUCAUAAGACGAGAAGACCCCAUGGAGCUUUAAACUAAAGGCACUAGCCCUCAAAUUACCCCUAAGGGUAAAACAUUUAACCGGCUAAAGUGACCCACCGUUUUCGGUUGGGGCGACCACGGAGAAAAACAGAUCCUCCGAGAUGAAAGGGAUAACCCUUAGCCAAGACCAACAAUUCUAAGCAAUAGAACGUCUAACACACUGAUCCAAUCAAAUUGAUCAACGAACCAAGUUACCCUGGGGAUAACAGCGCAAUCUAUUUUCAGAGUUCAUAUCGACAAAUAGGUUUACGACCUCGAUGUUGGAUCAGGGCCUCCUAGCGGUGCAGCCGCUGCUAAGGGUUCGUUUGUUCAACGAUUAAAGCCCUA
rnacentral:rRNA from 1 species